rnacentral:rRNA from 1 species
UCUGGGCCUCAUCGCAGCAGGAUCACGGGCCGAACUUAAGCAUAUCAUUCAGCCCAGGAUCAGAAAGCAACAGCGAUUCCCGACGUAGCGGCGAGUGAGUUGGGAAAAGCUCGGCACCGAAUCGGCCUUUGUAAAAGAAGGUUCGAGUUGUGGUGUACUGGUAUGGCAGCUCGGGCCCGCGACGCAAGAUGAAGCUCGCUGGAAAGCGACGCCAAGGAGGGUGAAAGCCCCGUUCCAUCCGCGAUCCGGACUCGACUGCCACUCCUCCAUCGAGUAGCACUGAUUGGUACUGCAGUGCGAAAUGGCAGGUAUAUCUCUGCCAAGGCUAAAUAUUUUGUCGAGACCGAUAGCGCACAAGUAGUGUGAACGAAGGAUGAAAAGUACUUUGCAAAAAGAGUUACAAGUACCUGAAACGGCGGCCAGGUAAGGGGUGGACAAACGGCUACCUGCAUUCUCCGCUCAAAGGGCACGGGUUGCCCCAACAGCGAAGAGCGCCAGCGCGGGUCGUGACACGCCUGCCAGCGGAGGUCCUCUACGGGCCGUUUGCGGCACAGGCGCCGACUCGGGGAACACGGGCAAGGAUACGGAGCGGGGCGUCGGACGGGUCACGGAGUGUAGAUAUUGCAUCAAAGCUUCGUGGUUCGGCCGGCCUCCGAGCCGCCCUUACUCUAUCGCUGGAACAUCGGUGGCGUCCACCCUCCCGUCUUGAAACACGGACCAAGGAGUCCAACUUGUAUGCAAGUGCUAUGGUGAUUUGAAGCCAAUGCGCGAACUGAAAGGGAAGGACACGCACUGGGCGUGCCUGCGGUGCGAGGGGCGCUCCGGCGCCUUGCAGCAUCCAUCGAGCUCGCUGUUGCAGCGAGCCUGAAUGGAAGCAUACAAGCUGGGACCCCAAAGAUGGUGAACUAUGCCCGCAUAGGAUGAAUCCGGAGGAAACUCUGGUGGAAGUCCGCAGCAGUGCUGACGUGCAAAUCGCUUGCACGAUUUGGGUAUAGGGGCGAAAGACUCAUCGAACCAUCUAGUAGCUGGUUCACUCCGAAGUUUCCCUCAGGAUAGCUGGCGCCAUACACGAGUUUUGCGCGGUAAAGCAAAUGAUUAGAGGCAUUGGUGUGCUGAUAAUGUCGACCUAUUCUCAAACUUUAAAUGUGGAAGGUGCCCUCAGCCUGCUUCGGUGAGGCUGGGACGAGAAUCGUGGCGCUAUGUGGGCCUUUUUCGGUAAGCGGAACAGGCGAUGCGGGAUGCUCCGCAACGGCACAUACGGGACCCGAGUCCUGGCUUAUUUAGAUCCCACAAAGGGUGUCGGGCGAUCAAGACAGCCGGAAGGUGGCCAUGGAAGUCGGAACCCUCUAAGGAGUGUGUAACAACUCACCGGUCGAAUCGCCCGGCCCCGAAAAUGGAUGGUGCUUAAGCCAGGCCCCCACCGUGCCGCGGGACGUGACGGCUCACAUCCUGAGUAGGAGUGCGUGGGGCGGUGCCAGAAAGGCGUGUGGCGUGAGCAGCGCUGAAGCCCGCUCCAGUGCCGAUCUUGGUUGUAGUAGCGAAUAUUCAAAAGGGAACCUUGAAGACUGAAGUGGGCAAGGGCUCCGUGUCAACAGCAGUUGGACACGGAUCACUCGGUCACUAAGGCCAACGCGUAGCCGCCUGGAAAGGCACACCUGCUCCCCGUGGGCGAUGUGCGAUGGCCGAAAGAGUAGCUGGUUCAGUGAUUCACGCAGCGCACCGAUCUGUGGUGUUUCCAACUGCAGAGGACCUGGACAAUCCCGGCAAUCGGUGUGCCAGGGGCUCUUAAGAGAUCUCUUUUCUUUUGAACGCUCAUGCGGUCGACACGGCCCAGUUGUCAUCCGGGGCCAGUGCAUGACCGGCUGCGGCUAAGCGGGCCACCCGGCGCCGUUGAGUCUCCCUGGCAUGCCCGUGGAAACGCCGGGGGAGUCGUGGGAUCACCCGUUUUUUCGGUUGCGGCCGUACCCAUUACCGCACCAGGUGCCCUAGCCGUAAAGGCUCUCGUCGACAGAUCAAUGUAGACUAAGGGAAGUCGGCAAAUUCGAUGCGUAAGCUCGCAAGAAGCAUUGGCUCUGGGGGCCAGUGUCACAACCCCCGAGGGAAUUACGGUUCUCACCCCGCCGCCAGCUUGGGCUGCCCCUCGGGGUGGCUUGGGUAGGCGGAGGACGCGGGGCCGGCAUGCCCGAGGGUGCGCUUGUGACCGUCGAGUGGCCAACCCAGAACUGCUUACGGAGGGGAAUCCGACAGUUUAAUUGAAACCCAGGGUUGCGGUACAUUCAGCGGUUUUCCGGGCAAGCUGAAUUCUGCCCAGUGCCCUGAGUGUUACCGUGAAGAGAUUUACCCAAGCGCGGGUAAACGGCGGGAGUAACUAUGACUCUCUUAAGGUAGCCAAAUGCCUCGUCUUCUAAUUAGAGACGCGCAUGAAUGGAUCAACGAGAUUCCCACUGUCCCUAGCUACUAUCUGGCGAAACAGCAGUCAAGGGAACGGACUUGAAAGGUUGAGCGGGGAAAGAAGACCCUGUUGAGUUUGACUCCAGUCUGCAUAUGUGCAGUGACAUGGGGGGUGUAGUAGAGGUGGGAGCUCCGGCAACAAUGAAAUACCACCACUUCCAUCGUUGCUUUACUCAGCGGGUGCUGAGGGAAAGGCGGGCAGACGCCUUUUCGGAGGCACGCAUGGCCUUCGGGCCAGCCCGUUUCCUAGUGAGCGGGUUCUUUGUAGCCGUCCGCCUUUUCAAGUGCUGAGCCCUGGCUUCGGCCGCGAAGGGUGCUGUACUCGCUCCGCGACAUCUUGCAGAUGGGGAGUUUGGCUGGGGCGGCAUAUCUGUUACACGACAACGCAGGUGUCCUAAGGCAAGCUCAGCGAGAACAGAAAUCUCGCGUGGAACACAAGGGUAAAGGCUUGCUUGAUCAUAGAGAUUCAGUACUUCUCUAGACCGUGAAAGCGAGGCCAGCGAUCCUUUGAUCAGUAGGAUGGAGAUAUUCAUGCCAGAGGUGUCAGAAAAAUUACCACAGGGAU